ACUGGGACUGAGACACGGCCCAGACUCCUACGGGAGGCAGCAGUAGGGAAUCUUCCGCAAUGGACGAAAGUCUGACGGAGCAACGCCGCGUGAGUGAUGAAGGUUUUCGGAUCGUAAAACUCUGUUGUUAGGGAAGAACAAGUUGGGUAGUAACUGACCCAACCUUGACGGUACCUAACCAGAAAGCCACGGCUAACUACGUGCCAGCAGCCGCGGUAAUACGUAGGUGGCAAGCGUUGUCCGGAAUUAUUGGGCGUAAAGCGCUCGCAGGCGGUCCUUUAAGUCUGAUGUGAAAUCUCGCGGCUCAACCGCGAACGGUCAUUGGAAACUGGAGGACUUGAGUACAGAAGAGGAGAGUGGAAUUCCACGUGUAGCGGUGAAAUGCGUAGAGAUGUGGAGGAACACCAGUGGCGAAGGCGACUCUCUGGUCUGUAACUGACGCUGAGGAGCGAAAGCGUGGGGAGCGAACAGGAUUAGAUACCCUGGUAGUCCACGCCGUAAACGAUGAGUGCUAGGUGUUAG
rnacentral:rRNA from 1 species